AGUGAACGCUGGCGGUAGGCCUAACACAUGCAAGUCGAACGGCAGCACAGUAAGAGCUUGCUCUUACGGGUGGCGAGUGGCGGACGGGUGAGGAAUACAUCGGAAUCUACUUUUUCGUGGGGGAUAACGUAGGGAAACUUACGCUAAUACCGCAUACGACCUACGGGUGAAAGCAGGGGAUCUUCGGACCUUGCGCGAUUGAAUGAGCCGAUGUCGGAUUAGCUAGUUGGCGGGGUAAAGGCCCACCAAGGCGACGAUCCGUAGCUGGUCUGAGAGGAUGAUCAGCCACACUGGAACUGAGACACGGUCCAGACUCCUACGGGAGGCAGCAGUGGGGAAUAUGGGACAAUGGGCGCAAGCCUGAUCCAGCCAGACCGCGUGGGUGAAGAAGGCCUUCGGGUUGUAAAGCCCUUUUGUUGGGAAAGAAAAGCAGCAGGUUAAUACCCCGCUGUUCUGACGGUACCCAAAGAAUAAGCACCGGCUAACUUCGUG
rnacentral:rRNA from 1 species